rnacentral:rRNA from 1 species
UACAGAGGGGGCAAGCGUUGUUCGGAAUUACUGGGCGUAAAGGGCGCGUAGGCGGCCUGCUAAGUCGAACGUGAAAUCCCCGGGCUCAACCCGGGAACUGCGUCCGAUACUGGCAGGCUUGAAUCCGGGAGAGGGAUGCGGAAUUCCUGGUGUAGCGGUGAAAUGCGCAGAUAUCAGGAGGAACACCGAUGGCGAAGGCAGGUCUCUGGGCCAUAACUGACGCUGAGAAGCGAAAGCAUGGGGAGCGAACAGG